GAUGAACGCUGGCGGCGUGCUUAACACAUGCAAGUCGAACGGAAAGGCCCAAGCUUGCUUGGGUACUCGAGUGGCGAACGGGUGAGUAACACGUGGGUGAUCUGCCCUGCACUUCGGGAUAGGCCUGGGAAACUGGGUCUAAUACCGGAUAGGACCACAUUUUGGAUGGUGUGGUGGAAAGUUUUUCGGUGUGGGAUGGGCUCGCGGCCUAUCAGCUUGUUGGUGGGGUAAUGGCCUACCAAGGCGUCGACGGGUAGCCGGCCUGAGAGGGUGUACGGCCACAUUGGGACUGAGAUACGGCCCAGACUCCUACGGGAGGCAGCAGUGGGGAAUAUUGCACAAUGGGCGCAAGCCUGAUGCAGCGACGCCGCGUGGGGGAUGACGGCCUUCGGGUUGUAAACUCCUUUCGCUAGGGACGAAGCGUUUUUGUGACGGUACCUGGAGAAGAAGCACCGGCUAACUACGUG
rnacentral:rRNA from 1 species